UACGGAGGAUGCGAGCGUUAUCCGGAUUUAUUGGGUUUAAAGGGUGCGUAGGCGGGAUGCCAAGUCAGCGGUAAAAAUGCGGUGCUCAACGCCGUCGAGCCGUUGAAACUGGCGUUCUUGAGUGGGCGAGAAGUAUGCGGAAUGCGUGGUGUAGCGGUGAAAUGCAUAGAUAUCACGCAGAACUCCGAUUGCGAAGGCGGCAUACCGGCGCCCUACUGACGCUGAGGCACGUAAGCGUGGGUAUCGAACAGG
rnacentral:rRNA from 1 species